CAGACUGCCCCGCUCACAGACUCUACGACCCAGUGGCUCUGCUGGGAAAUGUGUAGAGAGGGAGCUUAAAAAAGGUCUCUUCUGAUUUCAGCCACACACGCUCAGGACUUGCCAUUCAGGAGACAGAAAUCUGAGCUGACUUCAACUUCUUUCACACCCAGUAGGCCAGUGGAGACAAGAAAAUCAAAACAAGUUUUUUUUCAGCUCCCUGCACCUGAAGAAAAGCAAUUGUUUAAUCUAAAGAAUGAGAAGUGCGAGAAGACUGGAGUGGUGUUCUAUUUAAAACAGCACAACCUUGUUUCAGCAAUGCGUCGUGGGGAGUCUCUGGCUUGGCCGGGAGAGGCCCAGCGCCGUGAGGAGAGAAGAGUGGAGGCCCGACUGGCUAAAGGCCUUCAGAGACUGGAUGAGGCACAGCUCUACCACAUCAACACACUGACCAGAGAACAGAGGAGACUACACAGAGACCUGCUCAACAUGAGAGCGGGUCAGAACUGUGUGUGUGUGUGUGUGUGUGUGUGUGUGUGUGUGUGUGUGUGUGUGUGUGUGUCUGUGUGUGUGAGUGUGUGUGUGUGUGUGUGUGUGUGUGUGUGUGUGUGUGUGUGUGUAAGUGUGCGCAUGUGUGUGUGUGUGUGUGUGUGUGUGUGUGGAUGUGUGGAUGUGUGGAUGUGGAUGUAUGUGGAUCUAAGAUUACAUUUAUGAAAGAAUAUACACACAUUUAAAUACACACAAAUAUGUAAAUAUAUAAUAUGUUUGUAUGCGUAUAGACACACUAGUUCUUUAUUAUGAGUGCAUAAGAGAUGCAGAGACUAACUAAUCACUUUUUAAACUCAGGUAACAUUUGGAGAAAGGGAUUCACUGGUCUGGGGUCACAACCUUUUAACCAUGACCCCACUCACACUACUAUGUCUUACAACAGGACUCAGCUACCCACAAUUCCACUCUCUGGCAAAGAGACAGAGAGACACAGGCCUUUAAAGCCCCCGUCUGGUUACUCUCUGCAGGCACGAGUUCAAGAGUUCAUCAGCAAUGGGGACAGUAGAGCUGAAAGCUCCACAGCGCCGCUCUGUCUGCCAGACCUAAAAAUGCAGCCUGGAGCAGCAAUCGCCAGCAACUCCACCACACAGGGAGACGGUGAUGAGGGCAAGGCAGAGAGGGAUGAAGGAAAAGAUGGACAGAGGGAGAGAGAAAGAGAUAGGGAAACAAAGAAAGAGAAAGAGAGAGAGAAAGAUCAAAACAAAGAGGUAGAGAUGGAGAAAGAGACAGACACACAAACAUUGUCCCCUGCUGAUUCCACGCUGAUUCCCUUUGAGCUCUUGGCCCCGGAUGGGCGUCUGAGGACGGUACACACCCUGCCCAACUUCGCCCAGGCCCUGGCUGAGGCCCGUAAGGCUCGGUACAUCCGUCACCGAGGCAAGCCUCUAAGCGAGAGAGAGCUCACCAUUCGAGAGAUCUUCUCCAGGAGCCCCAAACCUUCACACAGUCUCUUCUGA
rnacentral:lncRNA from 1 species